AAAGUCGUAACAAGGUUUCCGUAGGUGAACCUGCGGAAGGAUCAUUAGUUAUAAUCCAUAUUGAAAUGGAAUUGAUUUAUUCUUUACUUUCAAAUCCUGUCGAUAAUUUUUUUAAUUUCCAACGAAAUAAAAAUGAGUAACCAAAUAUAACUUUUAACAAUGGAUCUCUUGGCUCUC
rnacentral:misc_RNA from 1 species